rnacentral:rRNA from 1 species
UACGUAGGGUGCAAGCGUUAAUCGGAAUUACUGGGCGUAAAGCGUGCGCAGGCGGUUUUGUAAGUCUGAUGUGAAAUCCCCGGGCUCAACCUGGGAAUUGCGAUGGAGACUGCAAGGCUUGAAUCUGGCAGAGGGGGGUAGAAUUCCACGUGUAGCAGUGAAAUGCGUAGAGAUGUGGAGGAACACCGAUGGCGAAGGCAGCCCCCUGGGUCAAGAUUGACGCUCAUGCACGAAAGCGUGGGGAGCAAACCGG